AGACCUCCCUGCUUUCCAGCGUCCGAGCUGAGGUCACGCUGCCUUCUCUUGGACCCUCGAUCUCUGCCUUCAGGACCCCAGCUCUGUGAGUGCAGGUCCCAGGUCACCCUCCCCUCCUAGAAGAACAGGUAAAGACUGGGCCCCUCUUGGAUCCUUCAGCCUUCCCAGCUUAGCCUGCAGAGGACCAAGCCCUGACCCAAGCAGAGAACCUGGAGCCAGAGGGAAGGACCACUGGGAGCUGCAGAUCCCAGCCCAGCUGGAGGAUGGAGAAUGCCUGCUAACUGCAAACCACAAGCUUCUGUUUUCCAGUCUUUCUUCAAGCUGUAGGCUCCUUUGAAGUAAUACUUUUGGUUGCAACUCAUCAGCUGCAGAGCAAGGACUUCUGGCUGAUAGACACAGGAUGAAUCUGGGUCAUAAAAAUCUGGGAGGA